GUUGAACCGAACAGAACGAUGUGUAAGGCUGCAAAUUGUAUUCGCAACAUCAUCCAUCCACAUCCAUCUUUUGUUUUAUUGAUAAUUUUUGGCUGUUAAUAGGUGUGCUGGUACCCAGAAGGUAUACCGGUAUUAAGAAGGCAUUGUCAUGUUGCAGCAUGAACUGUCAUGAAGAUGGAUUAACUUAAAGAAUUCCACCAAAAUCGAAAGGUAUCAUCUGACUUUGUAAACAGAAAAAGCUACUUGCAGAGCUAAUGUGUAUUUGAAAAGAAACUACAAGAGAAAGAAAAGACGAAUACGGAUGAAGAGAUUGAUAAGUUCUGAUCCAACGUAACAUCCAUGUUACUGAUGAAAUCACCAUGAAGACUUAAGGAAGAAUAUGAACCAGAAAAGAUACCACAAAGUAUAGAAGAUUUAGGUUCUCAAAAGUAAAAGGUCAGCGCAAUCCAAAUCUAUCCAGUAGCAUGCGGAAGAAAAUUAUAAUUUUUUUUCUUGUAUUUUCGUUAUUUUCGUGAAAUGUGUUUACAAAAAUGUUUUAGGGCAGGGCUCUUCAGGUGCAUGGUGUUGUCUUUUUUACACGAAUUUGGUUGAUUUAGAUCUAGGAUGCCUGUUAGAGCUGCGUAGCCCGAAUGAAAGCAAUCAAUUGUUAACAUGAUCUUGAUUAAUCCUUCAACAAACCAAUCAGAUAUUAAAGGUAGUCUUC